rnacentral:rRNA from 1 species
CCUACGGGAGGCAGCAGUGGGGAAUAUUGCACAAUGGGGGAAACCCUGAUGCAGCGACGCCGCGUGAGUGAAGAAGUAAUUCGUUAUGUAAAGCUCUAUCAGCAGGGAAGAAAAUGACGGUACCUGAGUAAGAAGCCCCGGCUAACUACGUGCCAGCAGCCGCGGUCAUACGUAGGGGGCAAGCGUAAUCCGGAUUUACUGGGUGUAAAGGGAGCGUAGACGGCAGUGCAAGUCUGGAGUGAAAGGGGGGGGCUCAACCCCCGGACUGCUCCGGAAACUGUAUAACUGGAGUGCAGGAGAGGUAAGUGGAAUUCCUGGUGUAGCGGUGAAAUGCGUAGAUAUUAGGAGGAACACUAGUGGCGAAGGCGGGUUACUGGACUGUAACUGACGUUGAGGCACGAAGGCGUGGGGAGCAAACAGGAUUAGAUACCCGAGUAGUC